AAACUCUGGCUUCUUUUCGGUUUUCGAAUAUAUCUUUCGCCUUUUUACUAAAGAUAUUCGUGGAGAGGAGGAUUCUAAUGAGUUUAUAAACAAUUUUUCAGAUAGGACUUUUAUAAUAC
rnacentral:snRNA from 1 species